rnacentral:rRNA from 1 species
AGUAACACGUGGGUAACCUGCCCCGAUGAUUGGGACAACCCGAGGAAACUCGGGCUAAUACCGAAUGUGCCCUAUGGCCUCAAGGUCUGUGGGGAAAGGAAGCUUCGGCCUCCGCAUCGGGAUGGGCCCGCGGCCCAUUAGCUUGUUGGUGAGGUAAUGGCUCACCAAGGCAACGAUGGGUAGCUGGUCUGAAAGGACGAUCAGCCACACUGGGACUGAGACACGGCCCAG